rnacentral:rRNA from 1 species
ACUCCUACGGGAGGCAGCAGUAAGGAAUAUUGGUCAAUGGACGCAAGUCUGAACCAGCCAUGCCGCGUGAAGGAUGAAGGUCCUCUGGAUUGUAAACUUCUUUUAUAGGGGGCGAAAAAGGUUUUUCUAAAUCACUUGACAGUACCCUAUGAAUAAGCACCGGCUAACUCCGUGCCAGCAGCCGCGGUAAUACGGAGGGGUGCAAGCGUUAUCCGGAUUCACUGGGGUUUAAAGGGGUGCGUAGGCGGGUAGGUAAGUCAGAGGUGAAAUCCUGGAGCUUAACUCCAGAACUGCCUUUGAUACUAUCUAUCUUGAAUAUGGUGGAGGUAAGCGGAAUAUGUCAUGUAGCGGUGAAAUGCAUAGAUAUGACAUAGAACACCUAUUGCGAAGGCAGCUUACUACGCCUAUAUUGACGCUGAGGCACGAAAGCGUGGGGAUCAAACAGGAUUAGAUACCCUGGUAGCGACUGA